AAUGAACGCUGGCGGCAGGCCUAACACAUGCAAGUCGAACGAGGUAGCAAUACCUAGUGGCGGACGGGUGAGUAACACGUGGGAACGUACCCUUUGCUACGGAAUAGCCCUGGGAAACUGGGAGUAAUACCGUAUGAGCCCGAGAGGGGAAAGAUUUAUCGGCAAAGGAUCGGCCCGCGUUGGAUUAGGUAGUUGGUGGGGUAAUGGCCUACCAAGCCGACGAUCCAUAGCUGGUUUGAGAGGAUGAUCAGCCACACUGGGACUGAGACACGGCCCAGACUCCUACGGGAGGCAGCAGUGGGGAAUCUUAGACAAUGGGGGAAACCCUGAUCUAGCCAUGCCGCGUGAUCGAUGAAGGCCUUAGGGUUGUAAAGAUCUUUCAGGUGGGAAGAUAAUGACUGUACCACCAGAAGAAGCCCCGGCUAACUCCGUGCCAGCAGCCGC
rnacentral:rRNA from 1 species